AUUGAACGCUGGCGGAAUGCUUUACACAUGCAAGUCGAACGGCAGCACGGACUUCGGUCUGGUGGCGAGUGGCGAACGGGUGAGUAAUACAUCGGAACGUGCCCAGUCGUGGGGGAUAACGUAGCGAAAGCUACGCUAAUACCGCAUACGAUCUAAGGAUGAAAGCGGGGGAUCGCAAGACCUCGCGCGAUUGGAGCGGCCGAUGGCAGAUUAGGUAGUUGGUAGGGUAGAGGCCUACCAAGCCGACGAUCUGUAGCUGGUCUGAGAGGACGACCAGCCACACUGGGACUGAGACACGGCCCAGACUCCUACGGGAGGCAGCAGUGGGGAAUUUUGGACAAUGGACGCAAGUCUGAUCCAGCCAUUCCGCGUGCAGGAUGAAGGCCCUCGGGUUGUAAACUGCUUUUGUACAGAACGAAAAAGCUCUGGUUAAUACCUGGAGCUCAUGACGGUACUGUAAGAAUAAGCACCGGCUAACUACGUGCCAGCCGCCGCAGUAA
rnacentral:rRNA from 1 species